GUGGGCCUCAGUCCAGGCUGGUCUGUGCUGACGGCGUGAUACACAGUGGGGCUUCCUGAGUCGCCCCCGGGGGCUGGAGGCUAAGGUCAGGCACAUGGUGGUCCCCACAUUGACAUGACAGACCCCAAUAAACCCUGCACUUCAGGACUCAGGUGGGCUUCCCUGGGCUGCCACAGCCGAGGAGGCUGGACCCUGCUCGUCCCCCUGUCCUCGCUGAUUUUAACUUGCAUCCUUCACCAUAAUAAACCCUGGGUAUAACAGCUUCAGGGAAUUCUGGGAGCAAGAAAAAAGAAGCCGGGGAGGGGGUCUCUGGGUCCCCAGCCCUGCAGUUGGGGGCAGAAGUCGGUGGGGAGGAUCUUGGGGCCCUGGAAUCUGAAGGGCCCCCCUACCAGGGGAGGGGUGGGAGACCCUGGGUGGUAGUUAAGCUGAGUCCAAGGCCCUCCUGCGUAGGAGGCUUCCUAGCCCCGGGGAUCCUGAAGAGGCCGGCUCCCUCCUCCCCUCCGCCUCUAGGCCUGGUCCCUGCUCUUGAGAGAUUCCCUAGGGUGGGGUCCUGGUGCUGGAGGUGCCCCGAUGCUGUGGCCUCCUGAGUCUCCAGGGAGGAUAACGGGAGUGGGGGAAGACCUGUUCACAGAAAGGGAGCUUCUGCCGGAACAGAGCCUGGGUCUGCUGCCCCCGACCCCAGGUGCACUGGGGCAGGAAUGCGAGAGCGAGGCUCCCUCCCCUCCCAAGACACACAGGACACAUGGGCGCUGGUCGCUGGACUCCCACACAAUAUUAAAAUCUCCCACGCAGGUCUCAUGGAUGAGAGACACUAUUUAAAGACUAUUAAUGGGGGAGGGGGGCCCAGGGAGUGAGGCUGAUGUGGGGAGACUUGGAAAAUCACCCAAGGAUGCACUCUCCCUGCAGCGACCCCGCAGGUGAGCCCAGGUGGAGGUGGACCCGUCAAGUCAGAGCCCACAUCCUGGGUCUUUGGGGGACAAAUAGCCAAGCACCCCCAGUCCUUGCCUCCACCUGCUGCAGUUAGGGCCUGCCCUGUCUUCUUCAUGGCCAAGUUCUCACCCCUCCCAGAAGGCCUCUUGGAGGUUAAUGCGAUGGGGGUGUCCAUGGCAGGACUGGAGGGUCUGUGGUGGGCUGGAGGCCAUGUGGCAGGCAGGCGGGCUCCCACCGAUCCUGCCGGUCCACACCUCCUGGUCAUAGGCCCGCAGAGCCCACCAGGCUGUGGAUGUGGUAGAAGGUGCCGGGGACCGGUCCAGCCCAUGCAGGUGUCUGACCACCGAGCGGUCAGUGUGGAGUAUUCCCAGGGAGCCCUGGCCGUGCUCGCACCCUCCCGGGAAUGACACGUCAGCGUGGUCCCUGGAAUGACCGGGAGGUCAGCCAGAAGCGCCCCCACCCAACCUCACUGUACCACAAGAAACAAGAGACAACUCCGUGCAGAAAGACAGAACAUCACCAGCCUGAUGCUGUCCUGAGGAAGGUCGGCUGGCAUCUGGGAACUGGGUGCUAUGGUGGGUUGAAUGGGGAGGUCCCCCCAAAAGUUAUGUCCACGUCAUGGCUCCCAGAAUCUGAGAAAAGAACCUUAUUUGGAAGUAGGGUCUCAGCAGGUAUAAUUAGUUACGGAUCUGGAGAUGAGGUCAUCCUGGAUCCGGGUGGCCCUGAAUCAGUGACAGUGUCCUUCUAAGAGACUAGAGGAGAGACACAGACACACAGGAGACACCAUGUGAAGAUGGAGGCAGAGACAGGAGGGAUGAGGCCACAAGCCCAGGGAGGCCUGGAGCCCCCAGAAGCUGGAAGAGGCGGGAAGGACCCUCCCCUGGAGCCUCCGGAGGGAGCGCGGGCCUGGGACACCUUGACCUCAGACGUCUGGUCUCCGGGACUGAGAGAGGACAGGUUUCUGUUGCUCUGAGCCUCCGUUUGUGGUCGUUUGUCACAGCUGCCCCGGGAAGCUAAUG